AAUGCCAGUCUCCGAGAACAAUAUCCAAUCUUGUACAACAUUGCUCAUGACAAGAAAAAUACUAUUGUGCAGGUGCUCAAUUCAUCGCCGUCGAGUAUUUUGUUUAGGUGGGAUUUGAUUGGCCCCCAACUUGUGGCAUGGCAUAACCUUUUAUUCCGGCUAGAUUCGAUUAACCUGAUACAAGGCCGAGAUGUGUUUCACUAAAACCUUACUAUAUCAAGAUCUUCCACUAUAAACUUUAUGUACAAUGCGCUCACUCAUUCGGAGGGACCAGUGACUAAUAGCAAGAAAAUUUUGAAGUCAAGAUUUCAUUAA
rnacentral:rRNA from 1 species